UACGUAGGGUGCGAGCGUUGUCCGGAAUUAUUGGGCGUAAAGGGCUCGUAGGCGGUUUGUCGCGUCGGCAGUGAAAACCCAGGGCUUAACUCUGGGCUUGCUUUCGAUACGGGCAGACUAGAGGUAUGCAGGGGAGAACGGAAUUCCUGGUGUAGCGGUGAAAUGCGCAGAUAUCAGGAGGAACACCGGUGGCGAAGGCGGUUCUCUGGGCAUUACCUGACGCUGAGGAGCGAAAGUGUGGGGAGCGAACAGG
rnacentral:rRNA from 1 species